GAUGAACGCUGGCGGCGUGCCUAAUACAUGCAAGUCGAGCGAACGGACGAGGAGCUUGCUUCUCUGAUGUUAGCGGCGGGCGGGUGAGUAACACGUGGAUAACCUACCUAUAAGACUGGGAUAACUUCGGGAAACCGGAGCUAAUACCGGAUAAUAUUUUGCACCGCGUGGUUCAUUGGUGAGAGUCGGUCUUGCUGUCUCUUCUAGAUGGAUAUGGGCUGGAUUAGCUAGUUGGUAAGGUAACGGCUUACCAAGGCAACGAUGCCUGGCCGACCGGAGAGGCGGAUCGACCACAUUAGAACUGAGACACACACAAGACUACUACGGGAGGCACCAGUAUCGAAUCGUACGCAAUGGGCGAGAGCCUUACGGAGCGACGCCGCGUGAGUUAUAAAGGUCUUCGGAUCGGAAAAAUCUGUUAUUAGUGAAGAACAUAUGUGGAAGGAGCUGUACACAUCGUGACGGUACCUAAUCAGAAAGCCACGGCUAACUACGUG
rnacentral:rRNA from 1 species